UACGUAGGGUGCAAGCGUUGUCCGGAAUUAUUGGGCGUAAAGAGCUCGUAGGCGGUUCGUCGCGUCGGCUGUGAAAACCCGGAGCUCAACUCCGGGCCUGCAGUCGAUACGGGCGGACUGGAGUGUUGCAGGGGAGACUGGAAUUCCUGGUGUAGCGGUGAAAUGCGCAGAUAUCAGGAGGAACACCGGUGGCGAAGGCGGGUCUCUGGGCAACUACUGACGCUGAGGAGCGAAAGCGUGGGGAGCAAACGGG
rnacentral:rRNA from 1 species